GUGUCGUGAGAUGUUGGGUUAAGUCCCGCAACGAGCGCAACCCUUGUCCCUAGUUGCUACGCAAGGGCACUCUAGGGAGACUGCCGGUGACAAACCGGAGGAAGGUGGGGAUGACGUCAAGUCCUCAUGGCCCUUAUGGGUAGGGCUUCACACGUCAUACAAUGGCCGGUACAAAGGGUCGCCAACCCGCGAGGGGGAGCCAAUCCCUGCAAAGCCGGUCGUAGUCCGGAUCGCAGUCUGCAACUCGACUGCGUGAAGUCGGAAUCGCUAGUAAUCGCGGAUCAGCAUGCCGCGGUGAAUACGUUCCCGGGUCU
rnacentral:rRNA from 1 species